GACGAACGCUGGCGGCGUGCUUAACACAUGCAAGUCGAACGGAAAGGCCCUGCUUUUGUGGGGUGCUCGAGUGGCGAACGGGUGAGUAACACGUGAGUAACCUGCCCUUGACUUUGGGAUAACUUCAGGAAACUGGGGCUAAUACCGGAUAGGAGCUCCUGCUGCAUGGUGGGGGUUGGAAAGUUUCGGCGGUUGGGGAUGGACUCGCGGCUUAUCAGCUUGUUGGUGGGGUAGUGGCUUACCAAGGCCUUGACGGGUAGCCGGCCUGAGAGGGUGACCGGCCACAUUGGGACUGAGAUACGGCCCAGACUCCUACGGGAGGCAGCAGUGGGGAAUAUUGCACAAUGGGCGGAAGCCUGAUGCAGCAACGCCGCGCGCGGGAUGACGGCCUUCGGGUUGUAAACCGCUUUCGCCUGUGACGAAGCGUGAGUGACGGUAAUGGGUAAAGAAGCACCGGCUAACUACGUG
rnacentral:rRNA from 1 species